GACGAACGCUGGUGGCGUGCUUAACACAUGCAAGUCGAAAGGAGUGGCGAACGGGUGAGUAACACGUGGGUGAUCUGCCUUGCACUUCGGGAUAAGCUUGCGACACUGGGUCUAAUACCGGAUAGUGCAAGAUGAGCUCGCGGCCGAUCAGCUUGUUGGUGGGGUAAUGGCCUACCAAGGCGUCGACGGGUAGCCGGCCUGAGCGGGUGUACGGCCACAUUGGGACUGAGGUACGGCCCAGACUCUUACGGGAGGCAGCAGUGGGGAAUAUUGCACAAUGAGCGGAAGCCUGAUGCAGCGCCGCCGCGUGGGGGAUGAAGGCCUUCGGGUUGUAAACUCCUUUCGACAGGGACGCGGUACCUGUAUAAGAAGCACCGGCUAACUACGUGUCAGCAACCGCGGUAAUUC
rnacentral:rRNA from 1 species